rnacentral:rRNA from 1 species
CCCUGAAAAUGGAUGGCGCUGGAGCGUCCCACUUAUUCCGGNCCGCUUGGGCAAUGGUGCGCGGCCAAAGCCAAGCCCAAGCGAGUAGGAGGGCCGCUGUGGUGAGCGUCGAAGCCUGGGACG